rnacentral:misc_RNA from 1 species
GAAAUGCGAUAAGUAGUGUGAAUUGCAGAAUUCAGUGAAUCAUCGAAUCUUUGAACGCACAUUGCGCCCCUUGGUAUUCCAUGGGGCAUGCCUGUUCGAGCGUCAUUUGAACCCUCAAGCUUUGCUUGGUGUUGGGUGUUUGUCCCGCCUUUGCGUGUGGACUCGCCUUAAAGUCAUUGGCAGCCAUGUAAUUCGGCUUUGAGCGCAGCACAUUGCGAUCUCUCUGCUGGUACAUUGGCAUCCAGAAGCCUUUUUUUUUACGCUUGACCUCGGAUCAGGUAGGGAUACCCGCUGAACUUAAGC